rnacentral:rRNA from 1 species
AUGGCUCAGGAUGAACGCUAGCGGCAGGCUUAACACAUGCAAGUCGAGGGGCAACGCGAGUAGCAAUACUUGGCGGCGACCGGCGCAAGGGUGCGUAACGCGUGAGCAACAUGCCCGUAUCAGGGGGAUAAUCCAGGGAAACUUGGUCUAAUACCCCAUAGUAAUUUUGUAAGGCAUCUUAUAAGAUUUAAAGCUUUGGUGGAUACGGAUUGGCUCGCGUGACAUUAGCUGGAUGGUAAGGUAACGGCUUACCAUGGCUAUGAUGUCUAGGGGUUCUGAGAGGAAGGUCCCCCACACUGGAACUGAGACACGGUCCAGACUCCUACGGGAGGCAGCAGUGAGGAAUAUUGGACAAUGGAUGGAAAUCUGAUCCAGCCAUGCCGCGUGAAGGAAAGAAGGUCCUAUGGAUUGUAAACUUCUUUUGUAUGGGAGCAGUAAGGCCUACGUGUAGGUUGAUGAGAGUACCAUACGAAUAAGCACCGGCUAACUCCGUGCCAGCCGCUGC